rnacentral:rRNA from 1 species
AUUGAACGUAGGCGGCUGGCUUAACACAUGCAAGUCGAACGCGUGGCGGACGGGUGAGUAAUGCAUGGGAAUCUAGCUCAUGGAGGGGGAUAUCUACGGGAAACCGUAGCUAAUACCGCGUACCAUAGGAUGAGCCCAAGUGUGAUUAGGUAGUUGGUGAGGUAAAGGCUCACCAAGCCGACGAUCUCUAGCUGGUCUGAGAGGAUGACCAGCCACACUGGGACUGCGACACGGCCCAGACUCCUACGCGAGGCAGCAGGGGGGAAUAUUGCGCAGUGGGGGCAACCUGACGGAGCCAUGCAGCGUGAAUGAAGCAGGCCUUCGGGUUGUAAGGGUCAUACGGUAGCGAGACGUUAACUACAGAGGAAGCACCGGCUAACACCAUGCCAGCCGCCGCGGUAAUAC